GGGGGGUGAACCGGGGAGCCUCGACAUUGCACCUGGCUCCGGAGUGAUACAGGUGUUGUGCCGAAAAUCUCCCCCCCUGACAGAAUUCGCCCCCCCCCCCCUUUCUAAUUUCCUUAAUUUUGUGACUAGAGUCAAAUACCUUCUGUUGCACACAUCAGAGUCAAACACUUUAUAUAGAACAAACCGAAAUUAAUUAUUAAUGUAUCUGUGUUAUUAAACAUAGAGGGAGUAAAAUGUUGGCAAGCAAAAAACAUUUCAGAACAACUAUGGCUGAAUUAUUAUCCUUACACUUUCAAAAAUACUAGUCGAAUAAGACAUGGGAGAGAUGAUGAAUUUUGGCAAAGAGAUUAAUUUAUAGACUAAUACAAAUCAGUAGCGGAUUUAGGUACGGGCGACAUGGACAACCGUCCAUAGCCAAACCGAAAACUGCAGACAAAAAUGGUUUCUGCUACUAAGAUCAGUGAAAUGUAGGCUAAACUGACAACGGAGUGAAAAGCAGAAAUCUCAACUAGCAAGCAAGUCGCAGCAAUGAAGAACGAGAAGGGCAGGGGGGAGAUUGUCGGCACAACACCGGCCGAGGAUGGGACAACACCACCUGUCGCCUUCAUUGCUGGGAAUUGUAUGCGUCCCCACAGAAUCUGACCCUCAUGGUACCAGUGUGUCCUACCUGGGUCAGUUGACCUCAGAGGCAAGACCUGAACUGCAGUCAGAUGCCCCUCCACAGCCCCUCCUGCUCCAAGACAACAUGUCAUCCCUCCAUACCAGUAUGGAGCUCCUCAAGGGGGAACCCCACAGCCCUGCCACCCAGCCCCUGUCUCCCCUCCCUCCCCUGGGCCUGAUGGUGUCCCUGGACCCCUGUCUGCUGCUGGAGGAGGACCAGGAACCACUGGAGUUUCAUACUCAGAUUGAACCAAAGAAACGGAAAAGGUGGCUGGCCGAAGAAGAGGAAACCUCAGAGAGAGUUAACAACACCCAUAGCUCCAACAACAGGGAAUGUUAUUUUUGUGAAUGAGAAGAGAAGCUGCAGCUGAGAGAGGAGCACCUGGACCUCCCUUUCACUGAGAUCAGCCACAUGCUGGGGCUGCAGUGGUCCCAACUGGGCCCCAACGACAAGCAGAAGUACAACCAAGAGGCAGAGAAGGACAAGCAGCACUACAUCACAGGGCUGACAGACUACCAGAACACUGAGGCAUACAAAGACUUCCUCCGGAGGAAAGCCCUGAGCAGAGGACCAAAGCUCUAUGUUGACCCCAGGGAGUUGACAUUGAGAUGGAGGAGGAGACCAUGGCUUUGAAUCCCAUAGAUGUGAGU